AUGGUAAUAGGUGUAGGUAUAAACUGACGGUGUGAUGUUAUGGUAAUAGGUGUAGGUAUAAACUGACGGUGUGAUGUUAUGGUAAUAGGUGUAGGUAUAAACUGACGGUGUGAUGUUAUGGUAAUAGGUGUAGGUAUAAACUGACGGUGUGAUGUUAUGGUAAUAGGUGUAGGUAUAAACUGACGGUGUGAUGUUAUGGUAAUAGGUGUAGGUAUAAACUGACGGUGUGAUGUUAUGGUAAUAGGUGUAGGUAUAAACUGACGGUGUGAUGUUAUGGUAAUAGGUGUAGGUAUAAACUGACGGUGUGAUGUUAUGGUAAUAGGUGUAGGUAUAAACUGACAGUGUGAUGUUAUGGUAAUAGGUGUAGGUAUAAACUGACAGUGUGAUGUUAUGGUAAUAGGUGUAGGUAUAAACUGACAGUGUGAUGUUAUGGUAAUAGGUGUAGGUAUAAACUGACGGUGUGAUGUUAUGGUAAUAGGUGUAGGUAUAAACUGACGGUGUGAUGUUAUGGUAAUAGGUGUAGGUAUAAACUGACGGUGUGAUGUUAUGGUAAUAGGUGUAGGUAUAAACUGACAGUGUGAUGUUAUGGUAAUAGGUGUAGGUAUAAACUGACGGUGUGAUGUUAUGGUAAUAGGUGUAGGUAUAAACUGAUGUUAUGAUGUUAUGGUAAUAGGUGUAGGUAUAAAUUGACAGUGUGAUGUUAUGGUAAUAGGUGUAGGUAUAAACUGACGGUGUGAUGUUAUGGUAAUAGGUGUAGGUAUAAACUGACGGUGUGAUGUUAUGGUAAUAGGUGUAGGUAUAAACUGACGGUGUGAUGUUAUGGUAAUAGGUGUAGGUAUAAACUGACGGUGUGAUGUUAUGGUAAUAGGUGUAGGUAUAAACUGACAGUGUGAUGUUAU